CCUACGGGAGGCAGCAGUGAGGAAUAUUGGUCAAUGGGCGCGAGCCUGAACCAGCCAAGUCGCGUGAGGGAUGACGGCCCUACGGGUUGUAAACCUCUUUUGCCGGGGAGCAACGGGCGCCACGUGUGGCGCCACUGAGAUUACCCGGAGAAAAAGCAUCGGCUAACUCCGUGCCAGCAGCCGCGGUAAUACGGGGGAUGCGAGCGUUAUCCGGAUUUAUUGGGUUAAAGGGGUGCGUAGGCGGUUCUUUAAGUCAGUGGUAAAAUUGAGGGGCUAAACCCCUUCCCGCCAUUGAAACUGGCGCUCUUGAGUGGAAGAGAAGUAUGCGGAAUGCGUGGUGUAGCGGUGAAAUGCAUAGAUAUCACGCAGAACCCCGAUUGCGAAGGCAGCAUGCCGGCUUCCGACUGACGCUGAAGCACGAAAGCGUGGGGAUCGAACAGGAUUAGAUACCCCAGUAGUC
rnacentral:rRNA from 1 species